rnacentral:rRNA from 1 species
UACGUAGGGACCAAGCGUUGUUCGGAUUUACUGGGCGUAAAGGGCGCGUAGGCGGCAAUUCAAGUCAUCUGUGAAAUCUCCGGGCUUAACUCGGAACGGUCAGAUGAUACUGCUUUGCUAGAGUGCGGAAGGGGCAAUCGGAAUUCUUGGUGUAGCGGUGAAAUGCGUAGAUAUCAAGAGGAACACCAGUGGCGAAAGCGGCUUCCUGGUCCAGCACCGACGUUCAGGCACGAAAGCGUGGGGAGCAAACAGG